AACUGCUCAACAAGAACAGACAAACACACUAGCCUGUGUCAACACAAAGGAAAAGGAAAUGACAGUGAAGAGUGAUAAAUUACACAGAAUCACAGAAAAGCAAGCCUGGAAGUGAAGAAAGGGGGCACCACAGGAAGUAUGCGUUGAUUACAGUGUUAAACUGUCCACUCUUUGAUCCUGGCCCAUGGCUAGAGAGGGCCAACCAGAGAUUUAGAACAGUGGAGAACAUGGAAAUAAAGCCAGUCCUACCUACCCUACCAAGAAGAUACUUUGUUUCUGAAAACUUUUGGAGGACACCAUUGUGCAGAAUUUUGAGCAUAAGCAGAACUUAAGUGCUUCAAGACACUUCUGAAUCUCUUCAUUAGCUUCUCCUCAACUUGUGCCUGCCUUUUCUGCUUGCAACCAAGUUAUCCUUCACUAAGGUAUGUUACUGGAUUAUACUUACCCUCCAUGAAUAGGAAUUUAAGUGUGUGUAUAGGGAAGAU
ensembl:lncRNA